UUGGCUAAUCAGAUGACUCUAUCCAAGA
rnacentral:piRNA from 1 species